CCUACGGGUGGCAGCAGUGGGGAAUAUUGCACAAUGGGGGAAACCCUGAUGCAGCGACGCCGCGUGUGGGAAGACGGUCCUCUGGAUUGUAAACCACUUUCCCCAGGGACGAAGAUCACGGUACCUUGGGAGGAAGCUCCGUCUAACUACGAGCCAGCAGCCGCGGUAACACGUAGGGAGCAAGCGUUAUCCGGAAUUACUGGGUGUAAAGGGAGCGUAGGCGGGAUGGCAAGUUCGGUGUUAAAUCUACCGGCUCAACGUGUAGUCGCACUCCACACUGGUAUUCUUGAGUGAAGUAGAGGCAGGCGGAAUUCGUAGUGUAGCGGUGAAAUGCAUAGAUAUUAGGAGGAACACCAGUGGCGAAGGCGGCCUGCUGGGCUUUUACUGACGCUGAGGCUCGAAAGUGUGGGGAGCAAACAGGAUUAGAUACCCGAGUAGUC
rnacentral:rRNA from 1 species